rnacentral:rRNA from 1 species
GUAGGGUGCGAGCGUUAAUCGGAAUUACUGGGCGUAAAGCGUGCGCAGGCGGCGCGUUAAGACAGGUGUGAAAGCCCCGAGCUUAACUUGGGAAUUGCGCUUGUGACUGGCGUGCUGGAGUGUGGCAGAGGGAGAUGGAAUUCCACGUGUAGCAGUGAAAUGCGUAGAGAUGUGGAGGAACACCGAUGGCGAAGGCAGCCUCCUGGGCCAGCACUGACGCUCAUGCACGAAAGCGUGGGGAGCAAACAGGAUUAGAUACCCUGGUAGUCCACGCCCUAAACGAUGUCAACUGGUUGUUGGUGGGGUUAAACCCAUUAGUAACGAAGCUAACGCGUGAAGUUGACCGCCUGGGGAGUACGGCCGCAAGGUUA